rnacentral:rRNA from 1 species
UACGAAGGGUGCAACCGUUGCUCGGAAUCAUUGGGCGUAAAGCGCACGUAGGCGGCUUGUCGCGUCGACUGUGAAAACCCGUGGCUCAACCAUGUGGUCUGCAGUCGAUACGGGCAGGCUAGAAUUCGGUAGGGGAGACUGGAAUUCCUGGUGUAGCGGUGAAAUGCGCAGAUAUCAGGAGGAACACCGGUGGCGAAGGCGGGUCUCUGGGCCGAUAUUGACGCUGAGGAGCGAAAGCGUGGGGAGCGAACAGG